rnacentral:lncRNA from 1 species
GGGAUUCAUUACGCCUAAUGAUCUAUUAAUUUGCAUCUCAUGCAGGAAACAUGAGAAAUGACCUGUGUUCCUUGGAGAGACUGUCAUCUACCAGUUCUGAGACCUUUUUCAUUGAAUGCAGGUAAACAAUGGUCCCUGUGUGAAGAAUGACCUAGAAGAGAGUCAAAGUAGGCGCUUAGAUGAUGAAGUCACCACGUGGAUGUCGUGAAGCAUUUCUGAGGAAGAAUUCCCUCAAUUCAUCUGCCAGUUCUGCAUGGAGAGAUGACAGAGAGGAGGUGCUGUGUGAGAAGGAUCAGUGAGAAGCACCUGUGCUUAGAAGAAAAAAAAGGAGAGAGAAAGGAGGCCAACGUUUGCAGACACCAGGUGCUCAGCACUUUCCUCACCAUGUGUGCUCGUUGUGUGCCAGCCAAGGGUGUCAUAGCCGCUAAUCAAACAUGAGUUUCAAGGCAGGUCCCAGGGAAAGUCCCACGAGGACGCAGUCGUCACCCCUGUAGCAGUGGGCAGACGAACUGAAUGAAGCUGUACAUGGAGUGAGUACCCUGUUUAAGUCCUGUGCUCUUGCCCAUUUUCACGGAAGUG